rnacentral:tRNA from 1 species
CCCCCUGUGGCUCAGUUGGUAGAGCAUGGUGUUUGCAAUGCCAGGGUUGUGGGUUCGAUUCCCACGGAGGGC